rnacentral:rRNA from 1 species
GUGGGGAAUCUUCCGCAAUGGGCGAAAGCCUGACGGAGCAACGCCGCGUGAGUGAUGACGGCCUUCGGGUUGUAAAGCUCUGUUAUAUGGGACGAACGGGCAUGGGGCCAAUACCCCCAUGCCGUGACGGUACCGUAAGAGAAAGCCACGGCUAACUACGUGCCAGCAGCCGCGGUAAUACGUAGGUGGCAAGCGUUGUCCGGAAUUAUUGGGCGUAAAGGGCGUGUAGGCGGCCAGACAAGUCUGUCUUAAAAGUGCGGGGCUCAACCCCGUGAUGGGAUGGAAACUGUCGGGCUAGAGUGUCGGAGAGGAAAGCGGAAUUCCUAGUGUAGCGGUGAAAUGCGUAGAUAUUAGGAGGAACACCAGUGGCGAAAGCGGCUUUCUGGACGACAACUGACGCUGAGGCGCGAAAGCCAGGGGAGCAAACGGGAUUAGAAACCCGGGUAGUCC